rnacentral:tRNA from 1 species
CCCGUGGGUGAAGCUACAAUUCACCG